UGUUAAUGAUGUGGGAAAACUUUUAUAAGAGGUUUGAAUCUCUCCUAUGCAUGAUAGAGAUUUUCGUCUGGCUUUUGCUUGAAACUUAAAAUCUCACUCCUCAACUG
rfam:Capsicum annuum cultivar Zunla-1 unplaced genomic scaffold scaffold90, whole genome shotgun sequence